rnacentral:rRNA from 1 species
GCUAUUUAGGUUAGAGUUUGAUCCUGGCUCAGAACGAACGCUGGCGGCAGGCCUAACACAUGCAAGUCGAACGGGCGUAGCAAUACGUCAGUGGCGGACGGGUGAGUAACACGUGGGAAUAUGCCUUUCGGUUCGGAACAACUCGGGGAAACUCGUGCUAAUUCCGGAUACGCCCUUACGGGGAAAGAUUUAUCGCCGAAAGAUUAGCCCGCGUCCGAUUAGCUAGUUGGUGAGGUAAAGGCUCACCAAGGCACCGAUCGGUAGCUGGUUUGAGAGAACGACCAGCCACACUGGGACUGAGACACGGCCCAGACUCCUACGGGAGGCAGCAGUGGGGAAUCUUGGACAAUGGGCGCAAGCCUGAUCCAGCCAUGCCGCGUGAGUGAUGAAGGCCUUCGGGUUGUAAAACUCUUUUGGCGGGGACGAUAAUGACGGUACCCGCAGAAUAAGCUCCGGCUAACUUCGUGCCAGCAGCCGCGGUAAU